UACGUAGGGACCAAGCGUUGUUCGGAUUUACUGGGCGUAAAGGGCGCGUAGGCGGCGCGGUAAGUCACUUGUGAAAUCUCUGAGCUUAACUCAGAACGGCCAAGUGAUACUGCAGUGCUAGAGUGUGGAAGGGGCAAUCGGAAUUCUUGGUGUAGCGGUGAAAUGCGUAGAUAUCAAGAGGAACACCUGAGGUGAAGACGGGUUGCUGGGCCAACACUGACGUGAGGCGCGAAAGCCAGGGGAGCGAACGGG
rnacentral:rRNA from 1 species